UACAGAGGUCUCAAGCGUUGUUCGGAUUCAUUGGGCGUAAAGGGUGUGUAGGUGGCGCGCUAAGUCGGGUGUGAAAUUUCGGAGCUUAACUCCGAAACUGCAUUCGAUACUGGCGUGCUUGAGGACUGGAGAGGAGACUGGAAUUCCUGGUGUAGCGGUGGAAUGCGCAGAUAUCAGGAGGAACACCGGUGGCGAAGGCGGGUCUCUGGGCCGAUACUGACGCUGAGGAGCGAAAGCGUGGGGAGCGAACAGGAUUAGAAC
rnacentral:rRNA from 1 species